rnacentral:tRNA from 1 species
UGCGACGGCCGGGAAUCGAACCCGAGUCAACUGCAUGAAGGGCAGCUAUGCUAACCAUUUCACUAC